GAGUUUGAUCAUGGCUCAGAACGUACGCUGGCGGCACGCCUAACACAUGCAAGUCGAACGAAGUAGCAAUACUUAGUGGCAGACGGGUGAGUAACAUGUAGGUAUCUGCCCUUUGGCCUGGAAUAACACGAGGAAACUUGUGCUAAUACCGGAUAAGUCUUUACGGAGAAAGCUUUAUGCACCAUUGGAUGAGCCUGCACUUGAUUAGUUUGUUGGUGGGGUAAUGGCCUACCAAGACUGUGAUCAAUAGCUGAUUUGAGAGGAUGAUCAGCCACAUUGGGACUGAGACACGGCCCAAACUCCUACGGGAGGCAGCAGUGGGGAAUCUUGCACAAUGGAGGAAACUCUGAUGCAGCGAUGCCGCGUGAGUGAAGAAGGCCCUUGGGUUGUAAAGCUCUUUCGUCGGGGAAGAAAAUGACUGUACCCGAAUAAGAAGGUCCGGCUAACUUCGUGCCAGCAGCCGCGGUAAUACGAAGGGACCUAGCGUAGUCCGGAAUUACUGGGCUUAAAGAGUUCGUAGGUGGUUGAAAGAGUUAGUGGUGAAAUCCCAGAGCUUAACUCUGGAACUGCCAUUAAAACUUUUCAGCUAGAGUAUGAUAGAGGAAAGCAGAAUUUCUAGUGUAGAGAUGAAAUUCGUAGAUAUUAGAAAGAAUACCAAUUGCGAAGGCAGCUUUCUGGAUCAUUACUGACACUGAGGAACGAAAGCAUGGGUAGCGAAGAGGAUUAGAUACCCUCGUAGUCCAUGCCGUAAACGAUGUGUGUUAGACGUUGGAAAUUUAUUUUCAGUGUCGCAGGGAAACCGAUAAACACACCGCCUGGGGAGUACGACCGCAAGGUUAAAACUCAAAUGAAUUGACGGGGACCCGCACAAGUAGUGGAGCAUGUGGUUUAAUUCGAAGAUACGCGCAGAACCUUACCAACACUUGACAUGUUCGUCGCGACUCUAAGAGAUUAGAGUUUUCGGUUCGGCCGGACGAAACACAGGUGCUGCAUGGCUGUCGUCAGCUCGUGUCGUGAGAUGUUGGGUUAAGUCCCGCAACGAGCGCAACCCUCACUUUUAGUUGCCAUCAUUAAGUUGGGCACUCUGAAAGAACUGCCAGUGAUAAGCUGGAGGAAGGUGGGGAUGACGUCAAGUCCUCAUGGCCCUUACGUGUUGGGCUACACACGUGCUACAAUGGUAUCUACAACAGGAAGCAAGACUGCGAAGUUAAGCAAAUCCCUAAAAGAUACCUCAGUUCGGAUUGCACUCUGCAACUCGAGUGCAUGAAGCUGGAAUUACUAGUAAUCGUGGAUCAGCGUGCCACGGUGAAUGCGUUCCCGGGUCUUGUACACACCGCCCGUCACACCAUGGGAGUUGGUUCUACCUUAAGGCAAGGUUUCAAACCCUUGACCACGGUAUAGUCAGCGACUGGGGUGAAGUUGUUCUGGUAACC
rnacentral:rRNA from 1 species